rnacentral:lncRNA from 1 species
GGACAGUCAGGCAGUGACUGUUGAGGGUACAGGAGCCUGAGUUCAGCCCUGGGGUCAGAGAGGCCAGGAUUCAGGACCCUGCCACUUAGUCCUUCCAGUCACCUGCGGAAUAGGGUGGUCCCCAAAGUGCAAAAACAGCAAAGUUGCAGAGCCCAGGUUGGAGAGAGAGGAGAAGAGCCACCCCAGGCAGGCGUUGGGGCUGGGAAGCAGGGAGCCCAGCAGGUCUCCUGGGAGGGCCUGGGCCAGCCUGUGGGCUCUGGGACAGGCUUUUCAGGGCUGUGGUUUUACAUGUGUGAGCUGCAGCAGCAGAAGCCCAUUCUCCACACAACGGUGGACUCAGAACGCCCAUGUGCAAGGCUGGCUAUGGACGUGGAGUGGGGUCCUCAGAAGCCCCGAGCUUCCUCUGAAGAGCCUCUUAGAUCCAGGCUUUGGGGCACACACUUGGAGAAUCUCUGCUUUAGCAGGAGGUGAGACACAGGCUGCCCCCAGAGGCCUGGGACUGAGAUGACAGCUCCUGGGGGUCAUUCCUGGGAUCUGAGCCUUCCUUCUCCUUUGCUCUCCCUUGGCGUUUGGAGAUGCCUUUGUGCACACUCCAGCUUGCCUUAUCUGACCUUUGCAGGGUUCUAAGGAAGGAAUGAACCUUGUUGGACUCCAGGGGGUCAAGGGGAAUCCUGGAUGUUAGCAUGAGAGCCCCAGAUGAGCCUGAGCUUCUGUUCAGUCCUGCCACCCAUCCUGCCUGGAGAGCCUGGGUCCAGGAAAGAGACCUCUGGAGGUCCUUGCUUUUGCAAAGGAAGCAGUUUUUCACACAGCUUCUGUGGCCAACUACUAGCGUCCAGUGUUGUUUCAGUUGAGAUUCCUGAUGAGCCCAGUUUUAUCUUUUUGCACCCUCCUUCAAUUUCCUUGUGUGUAAAAUGGGAUGACCAUCUCCUCGGUAAGAUGUCAGGUGGUGAGCACAGUGCCUGCAUGUGGUAAGUGCUAAAGAAAAGUAAUUAGAAUCAGUAAAACUGAAGAACUCUUUAGAAAAAGCAGUCACCUGUGCUGGCUGAGCUUGUGUAAAAGAAAGAUUUACUGACUCAGUUUUAAUUUCUGUGAAUACACCUUUGUGUAGUGAGGAGCAAACCAAGAGGACUGAGCCUUGGGCCUGCCAGCAACUCACCUGAUGCCUUUCUCUGGGCCUCAGUUUUUCUCUCUCUGAAGUGGAUGUGUGUCAUAUGACCCAGAGAUUUCUAAUCUAUCUUCUCCAGCUAGAUUCUUGCAUUAGGGGUGAACUUGUUCAUUGGGUAGAGUUGCUUCCCCUGGUUUGGAGAGGCAGCAUUUGCAGCCCCAGAGGCUAUCAGGGAUAAGGGUGUUGGGCCAAGAAUAGCUGGGCCAGGAGCAAUAAACUGUUAAGGGCUUGAUGAGUCUGAGCAACUGACCAAUAACAUCCAAUGCCCCUGGAACCUGGCAACUCCAACUUUAGGUGGCAGAGGAUUAAACACAUUUUGCCUCAAGGUGAGUCUGUACAGGUCCCCAGUGGUCUCUGGGCCUGCCUUCCAGCUCUGUGAGGAACAGGAGCUGAGCAAGUGCCUACAGUCACCACGCUGCCUACAGUGUCCAGGGGAUUCUAGCCUGGAUAGGAAAACUGGCUUGGCUGAGUGGACUGUCCCAGGGUGAGGAUCUGGGAAUGAGCAUAUGGGGAUGGCAGACUACCACACGCCCUGGAAGCUGGAGAGGAAGGAGGCACCCAGGACAGAAGGUGAGGUUGCCCCAGGUCAACAACUUCCAGAUGAGAUCCACCUUGAGUCAUGAUCCUCAGAUGCCAAGCCACAGGAACCUCAUCACCCACCUCAUCAUCCAAACUGGAACUUGAUGGAAAUCAUUCCACAACUAUGUGUUGGUGGGUUGUCUUCUUAAUACUUGGAAGGAGGUCUUAAUACUUAUCCCACUGAAAUCAUGCUACCUACACCUAGCAAAACAUACAUCAAAGAAAAACUUCUAACUGGGUAUAUCACAUGCCCACUGUACUAACACACUGGAGAACCCCCAACAACAGGAGGCCCGGGGAGAGUCCCUGACCCACAGGGACUUCAGGUCAAGACCACACCCACCAUCCUUUCAAGGUGGAGACAGUCCCCGUAGGAACCAAACUGAUGUAUAAUAAAACUCAUCAUUUAUUUCUCUUCUCCCUACAGCAUUUCAGCCAGUGAAUGGUAGAAUUUUGCAGGAAUAAGAAUUAGAGGUGUAGAGGGUUUUGAGAUGCGGGGUGGGUCAGGUUUCACUACUCAAGGACCCUAAGACAGGUUUUUGGAAGAAGUGUGUGUGUGUGUGUGUGUGUGUGUGUGUGUGUGUGUAGGACCACAUUCAGCCACUCCCAUGGGCAAGUAUGACAUAUGACCACUCCUCUCUUCUUGCCCCCUGGCCUCCUUAACCUAGAAGUCACCUUGCUGGCUCAUGGGAUUCCUUGAUACUUCUGCAAUCCAGCUUCUCCGCUCCAACAGGCUGUCCCUGCCCAGCUGAGCUGGCCCACCCAGGGUUCCCUCACAGUGCUAUGGGCCUCCACUGGCCCCCUCUGCACAGCCCAUCCUCUCCAAUCUUUCUUUCCAAAGUGAAAUCUACCAAUGCUUACUCUUUGGCUCUGGCCACAUGAGAGACAGACAGACAUACAGACACACACUUCUUUCUUUUUGCCUUGGCUCACCACUAUUCAAUGCCUGGAAGCCUUAUUUUCUCCCUUGGGAACCUCCACUCAGUCUUUACAACUGUCAUCUCCUCCAGGAAGUCAUCCCUGCUCUUCUUCC